rnacentral:rRNA from 1 species
UGGUGGAGUGAUUUGUCUGGUUAAUUCCGUUAACGAACGAGACCUCGACCUGCUAAAUAGUUUGGCGAAUUCCCUGUGGAUUCGCACCUAACUUCUUAGAGGGACUAUCGGUUCGCAGCCGGUGGAAGUUUGAGGCAAUAACA